rnacentral:rRNA from 1 species
UCUUCGGAACUUAGCGGCGAUGGGUGAGUAACACGUACUUAACAUGCCCUCUAGAUUGGAAUAACGAUUAGAAAUGAUCGCUAAUGCCGGAUACUUAUAUCUUUCGCAUGAAGGAUAUAUAAAAGGAGCGUUUGCUUCGCUAGAGGAUUGGGGUGCGUAACAUUAGCUAGUUGGUAGGGUAAUGGCCUACCAAGGCUAUGAUGUUUAGCGGGGUUGAGAGACUGAUCCGCCACACUGGGACUGAGAUACGGCCCAGACUCCUACGGGAGGCAGCAGUAGGGAAUUUUCCACAAUGGACGAAAGUCUGAUGGAGCGACACAGCGUGCAGGAUGACGGCCUUCGGGUUGUAAACUGCUGUUAUAAGGGAAGAAAAAAUAAAGUAGGAAAUGACUUUAUCUUGACGGUACCUUGUCAGAAAGCAACGGCUAACUAUGUGCCAGCAGCCGCGGUAAUACAUAGGUUGCAAGCGUUAUCCGGAAUUAUUGGGCGUAAAGCGUCUGUAGGUUGUUUGUUAAGUCUGACGUGAAAACUUGGGGCUCAACCCCAAAUUGCGUUGGAUACUGGCAAACUAGAGUUAUGAAGAGGUUAGCGGAAUUCCUUGUGAAGCGGUGAAAUGCGUAGAUAUAAGGAAGAACACCAACUUGGCGAAGGCAGCUAACUGGGCAUACACUGACACUGAGAGACGAAAGCGUGGGGAGCAAACAGGAUUAGAUACCCUGGUAGUCCACGCUGUAAACGAUGAUGAUUAGCUGAUGGGGAACUCAUCGGCACAGCUAACGCAUUAAAUCAUCCGCCUGAGUAGUAUGCUCGCAAGAGUGAAACUUAAAGGAAUUGACGGGGAUCCGCACAAGCGGUGGAGCAUGUGGUUUUAUUUUGAAGAUACGCGUAGAACCUUACCCACUCUUGACAUCUUCCGCAA